GUUCUUGAAGGUGCACCAAGAAGCAGCAAGAAGCCCGACACGAGACGUAGACAUUGGGGACACUGAAGGAGCGCCAGACGCAGCAGCAAGUCUCCAGGGAAGCUUUUGUUUUCACCAGAUGAUGACGGGGGUUAAUUUAUUUAUAAUAAUUACCAGUAACACUUGGUUAUUUGCAGUUCCUCAUCCAGAAACUCUUACGAUAUCAUGUAAUAAUAAAAAAAAAAUCACGUAGAUGUAAUACUAAAAAUUGCGGUAGUGUCACUAUAGGUAAACAAUGUAAAGCUUAUAGCGCAUCAUCAAUGCUAAUCCCUCAUGGAAAUACAGUCCAGUCCAAUAUUUCAAGUGAUUUUAUUCCACCAUUCGACAUUAGUGAUAAUUGUUGCGAAAGGAUAAA